rnacentral:rRNA from 1 species
UACGGAGGAUCCAAGCGUUAUCCGGAUUUAUUGGGUUUAAAGGGUGCGUAGGCGGCCUAUUAAGUCAGGGGUGAAAGACGGUAGCUUAACUAUCGCAGUGCCCUUGAUACUGAUGGGCUUGAAUGUACUAGAGGUAGGCGGAAUGUGACAAGUAGCGGUGAAAUGCAUAGAUAUGUCACAGAACACCAAUUGCGAAGGCAGCUUACUAUGGUUUUAUUGACACUGAGGCACGAAAGCGUGGGGAUCAAACAGG